CUACGUAGCUCAGAGUUUGAUCCUGGCUCAGGAUGAACGCUGGCGGCGUGCUUAACACAUGCAAGUCGAACGGACUUUGGAUUUGAGCUUGCUCUUAUCCAAAGUUAGCGGCGGACGGGUGAGUAACGCGUGGGUAACCUGCCUCAUACAGGGGGAUAACAGUUAGAAAUGACUGCUAAUACCGCAUAAGCGCACAGUACCGCAUGGUACAGUGUGAAAAACUCCGGUGGUAUGAGAUGGACCCGCGUCUGAUUAGCUAGUUGGUGAGGUAACGGCCCACCAAGGCGACGAUCAGUAGCCGGCCUGAGAGGGUGAACGGCCACAUUGGGACUGAGACACGGCCCAA
rnacentral:rRNA from 1 species